rnacentral:rRNA from 1 species
AUUGAACGCUGGCGGCAGGCUUAACACAUGCAAGUCGAGCGGUAGAGGGGAGCUUGCUUCCCUUGAGAGCGGCGGACGGGUGAGUAAUGCCUAGGAAUCUGCCUGGUAGUGGGGGACAACGUUCGGAAACGGACGCUAAUACCGCAUACGUCCUACGGGAGAAAGUGGGGGAUCUUCGGACCUCACGCUAUCAGAUGAGCCUAGGUCGGAUUAGCUAGUUGGUAGGGUAAAGGCCUACCAAGGCGACGAUCCGUAACUGGUCUGAGAGGAUGAUCAGUCACACUGGAACUGAGACACGGUCCAGACUCCUACGGGAGGCAGCAGUGGGGAAUAUUGGACAAUGGGCGCAAGCCUGAUCCAGCCAUGCCGCGUGUGUGAAGAAGGUCUUCGGAUUGUAAAGCACUUUAAGUUGGGAGGAAGUUCAGUAAGUUAAUACCUUGUUGAAUUGACGUUACCGACAGAAUAAGCACCGGCUAACUCUGUGCCAGCAGCCGCGGUAAAAC